UGAGUAACCUGCCCUUAACUCUGGGAUAAGCCUGGGAAACUGGGUCUAAUACCGGAUAUGACUCCUCAUCGCAUGGUGGGGGGUGGAAAGCUUUUUGUGGUUUUGGAUGGACUCGCGGCCUAUCAGCUUGUUGGUGAGGUAAUGGCUCACCAAGGCGACGACGGGUAGCCGGCCUGAGAGGGUGACCGGCCACACGUGGGACUGAGACACGGCCCAGACUCCGUACGGGAGGCAG
rnacentral:rRNA from 1 species